rnacentral:rRNA from 1 species
CAGCCGCCGCGGUAAUACGUAGGGUGCGAGCGUUAAUCGGAUUUACUGGGCGUAAAGCGUGCGCAGGCGGCCCGUUAAGACAGGUGUGAAAUCCCUGGGCUCAACCUAGGAAUUGCGCUUGUGACUGGCGGGCUCGAGUACGGUAGAGGGGGGUGGAAUUCCUGGUGUAGCAGUGAAAUGCGUAGAGAUCAGGAGGAACACCGAUGGCGAAGGCAGCCCCCUGGGCCUGUACUGACGCUCAUGCACGAAAGCGGGGGGAGCAAACAGGAUUAGAUACCCGGGUAGUCCACGCCCUAAACGAUGGGUACUAGCCGUUUGGUGCGCGAUAGCGCUGAGUGGCGAAGCUAACGCGUGAAGUCCCCCGCCUGGGGAGUACGGCCGCAAGGUUGAAACUUAAAGGAAUUGGCGGG